rnacentral:tRNA from 1 species
GUCCAUAGGGACUUAGCUCAGUUGGUUAGAGCAUGGUGCUGAUAAUGCCAAGGUUGCAGGUUUGAUCCCCGUCUGGGACA